UACGUAGGGCGCAAGCGUUGUCCGGAAUUAUUGGGCGUAAAGAGCUCGUAGGCGGUCUGUUGCGUCCGCUGUGAAAUCUCGGGGCUUAACCCCGAGCCUGCAGUGGAUACGGGCAGACUAGAGGUAGGUAGGGGAGAAUGGAAUUCCUGGUGUAGCGGUGAAAUGCGCAGAUAUCAGGAGGAACACCGGUGGCGAAGGCGGCCAACUGGACGAAUACUGACGCUGAGACUCGAAAGCGUGGGGAGCGAACAGG
rnacentral:rRNA from 1 species